CCUCAUCAUACACAAAAAGUGGACAUGAAUCCAUGAUCUGGUGGAAUUCACGUGUUAAUAUACUUUAAAAAGGAAAAAAUAAAAAAUGCCAGACGCGUUCAUUUAGGAAUUUAGACGAGAACACAAUUUGGACAUAAGCUUUUUGAGCACGGUUGAUUACAACGAGAAAUUCAGCAAAGAACACAAAUUAAAUACAAAGGAAUGGUGCCCAGACAAUCAAUUUUCUGCUACUAUUGCAGCAAUUCCUUGUAGACAUUUCUGCAAUCAAUUCACAAAUAAUUAUUUUUGUAGUGUCAACAUUUUCCUGAUGAGUGAACGAUACAUAAACAUAAUUUAUGUAAUAUAAUAGGACAAUUGGAAUUUAUGAGCAAAAAAGGUAAGUAAUGCUCUGCUAGAUCAACGUGCAUUAUAGGGGAUUGGUAAUUAUACAGAACAUAAGGUUAAAGAACAUACUUACCAUAGUGAAGAUUAGAAUCCCCACUUGAGUGGGCAUUUAUUAAGGAUUUAAACCCUUAUGGGGUGAACUAAGACAGAAGUCUGGGCAUGUCUUGGCUCUCUGUAAAGAAACUAAUCACUUGGAGGAAUAAAAGAAAAAUGAGACUAGGCAUCUCCAGG